rnacentral:lncRNA from 1 species
AAAGUGAGGGUUUGAAACAGUUCUAAAGUUGAUUGUUACUGAUUUCCUAACUGGGGUUCUUGGAGCUUGCUCUGCUAUAGAACUGGGGACUUUACAGUAAAACAUUUUCAGCUUGAUGGAAUAGGUAAUGUGAAAAUAAUGGCUUUAAAAUCAGUAUGUCAUUUUCAAAAAAAACAAACAAACCCACAUUUUAUUAUCACUCACAUUUGCACGGAGGAGCUGCUGUUACAGGGGCUUUCUGGAGCCAACUGAGGGUCUUGUCCUUCUUUUGGCAGAACACCCUCUUGGGCUUUUCUUCUGACUGUUGGAGAGAGAAACCUUUAGGGUUACUUUGGAGACUCCUUAUUGCCUCUUGAACAGAAACAGAUGUAUUACAACAUAAAAACAUCCAGAUUUUUGAAGGAAGGAUCCAAAACUAUGAAUGGUUCUCAACCAAAGGCCUUCUGCCUUACCUAAAGUUUAUUCCAAUUUACUUGCCUAUACCUCUACCCAAUGUAUUUUUCCAAGAUAGAUUUUCACAGAAAAAGUAAUGUGUUAAAGCACCUAGAAAAAUAUUUGAAGCUAUCUCAUUUCUGAAGAAAAGGAAUAUUGAUAGUAAUAAAAUGCCAGUAGUUGUCUUCUUGCUUUUUCACUCAUUGAGUUUAUCAAUUGAUUUAUAUGUUG